CAUGCGAUGAUUUAAAUACUUU
rnacentral:miRNA from 1 species